CGGCAAAUACGGCGACCUCUUCGUAGCGGCUCUCAGGAGCUACGGAAUGCUCUGCGUGGGCCUGUACAGGUUUCGGGACACGAGCUCCUCUGGCGAGGCGUCCUCGAAACGGUAUGUCAUCACCAACCCCCCAGCAGACUUCACCCUGCUGCCGACGGACAUGGUGUUCGUCCUGCUGCAGUUCGACCCCGGGCUGGAGUACAAGCCCAACCGGGCCGAGGAGCCAAAAGACGACAACUCUUGACUCCUGCUGUGUAGCGCUUUGACUGACGGGCCUUACUCCUUCAUCUAAACAGACAACACUCCACCCUGCUGAUUGCCUCCCACGGUGUGGACGGAGAUGGGGCAAACGGAAUCCGACACCGUACACCCAAAUUGCACACUACAGCGAACGCCGCGCACAUAUCCUAAGGAGCACUCUGACCCACUGCAAAGUCGUUGCAGAGGCUUCUGAAGUCGGGGCUUUUCUUGGCUGAUUUUUUCUCAUUGAGACCCCGAAUGACGCACAGAAGUGGCCUUGUAGCUUAGUUAGGCAUUACACUGUGGGGGGAGGCUUCUCUCUGUUCCUUUUCUUUCGAGGUGUCGACUUUGGAACAACGAAAUCUUAAGCAGCCCUGUGGAGGCACCUGCCGCAUGCGUGCUCUAGGCAGCCGCGAUCCCUUGUGGGCCUUACACCUAGUCACCCUUCGGAGCAGGCCUCUUGAUCGUACAGUGUGAGGGCCUCCCAGGACGGACACGCAGAAAGGCUGCCCCGAACUCUGCAGGUGUUCCCCGAGAGUACCAGAAACAAAGGAUCUUAUACGAUGACAUGCAAAGCUGGCAGCAACCUGUCGAGCCCACUGCUUCCUUGUCACUCGUCGUCGGCGGCACAAGGAGGCAGGUAUCUUCAAAGUAUCUUCUAGGAACCUAGGGGCAUCUCACGCAAUUCGCCACUUAAUGAAAAGGACACACUACGCAGCAUGUGGUGUCGGCAGUGCCCAUCGUUCGCGAUGCCAGGCAAUGCGCGCACACACACACAGACACACACACACACACACACACGCAUGAACACAGGAGGAAUAACUCAAGGGUCGUCUGUUGAGGUCGCUACACGGUUAACGAAUGCAUUGGAAAUGCCUGAAAACGUGCAAAGUGCAACGCUGCCUUCGCAGCACACAUGAAACAAGAGGUCCGACUUGGGACGAACGUCUCGUUUCAACACUCGCUCUGCAUGUCUACUUCUCUGUCCUUCUCUGUUCCCGACUCUCUGCAAUACAAGUGUUUGUUUUGUGUUAAAAGCUUGUACAUUUGACAUACGUCCUGACGCGACCGCCGCGUCGCGCUCUUUGUACGAAAAGGUUCAUAUUUUAUGUACGAGUCAAAGAUUGUUGAAAUCUCUUUAGUUGCAUUGUUUCCAAGCGGAAGCACGUGGUGUACAGUAGUGUUGUAAAGUGAGCAAGUUAAUGCUGAACACUAUGAAGAAGGCUUAACAAUGUGUAACAUACCUUUUUGUGUAUAGAAGUGUACAUAAGCACCGCAGCGGGCAUUGACCCGCUUGUGCAUUCGGCCCGAAGCGAGAGGCGUAACUUGUGACGUGGUCUGUUUUUUCUCCAUGCAGCCUUACAUUUUUCAACGUUCGGUUUCACGUUUCGCAUCAAUGUUAGCUCAAGGUCACACCGACAAGAUCACGUGCUAUGCUGCGUAGUUACUACGACGCAGUGCUCCACUCGGCAAGCCCCCCUCCCGCUGCGGCGGUGCCGCCGCACGCGAAGGGUGUUGCGCGGCGGACGGGCGACGCGUGCACGGCCAACGACCAACUGAAUGUACAACAAAGCGUAGAUACUCGAGCGGCGCGCCGCUCCGGAAGCCGCCGGCCGAGGAGUGGCGCUGGCCGACUGUAAGCACCUUCUUUUUAGCGGUCAAUGCGUGGUUUUCGCUGGCCACCUCAGCGACCGUCCCCCCGUUGCAAUCGGACUCGGAACUUUCGAUUUGGGUUCCGUAUUAUGUAUUUUGCCUUAUGCACCCCCCCUCGGAUCUGCAUUUCCGCCUGAAAAUAAAAUCCUGUACACGCAAAAGAAAAAAAAAAAGCGAAAAGAAAAAAAGAAAAAAAAAGGCUGCUGACGUUUGACGCCGAGCUCACUCGGAGUGUCUUUUCUCUGUACUUUUUGUUCCUCGUUGUUGGUGCGAGAGGCGUACACGAGGGAGGGUACGUGAAGGGGCGAGUUAUUUCCUACCGGUAGCUGCGUAGGGCACUGCGCAGCGCAGUGCUGAGAAAGAGAACAUGUCUCUCUGCGGUAUAAACACAGACACUAGACAAUCCAUGCAUGUUGUGAUUUUUCAUUGAACGAUACUAUGUUGCAAACUCUUUUUUAUUCUCAUUACACACGAGGGGGCUCAUUUAUCCUGUCGCGUGGAUGCCCCAGAGGAAAGCCGUUCGGUACUUUGUGACGCGAGAGCGAGUAGUUGAGGCGCCAGGGAGCGCGCCGGCUUCUCGUUGACAGUGUGUCAAACUUGAGCAGCAAGGGUCGCUUUCACUAUAUAUUUAAUUUGUGUGCUUUGUGUCAUUUUCUGCGCUCUGUUUAUGGCGCCCUCAUUUUACACUACUUGGGCUAACCGAUUUCACCUGUGUGUGCAUGCUCACUCUUGGCUAAUGUUGUGGAGAUUUUGCUUGCUAAAACUGAACCAGCGGUCUUUUGUUGUCAUACCUUAGUAUUAUUUUUAUUUUUUCGUGCGUGUGCACAUGACGUUGGUGGCCUAUCUGCUGCUGCUUCUGCUGCUGCUGCAUGUAAGCUUAAAGGAAUUGUCGGUUGACUACAACUGCCACAGAUGGCAUUUCGUUGUUUUUUAAAGGAAUCUGGCCACGCGAUUGCCUGUCGUGUGUCCGCUUUUACUGCAGUGUUGCUUCGUCGUUAAUCUGCUGUGACGCAACGAGCUUGACGCGUUAAGUAUGCCAGCGUCUUGAAUAGUUUAAGUCUAGUGACUCGCAAGCGCUGUGACCAUUGGAAUAGUGAAGAGACGACGGCGACACCGAAGCUUCGUUUAUUGACUUUUUUUUUAAAGUGAACACGCGUUCGAUCUAGAUCUCCGAGGGUAUGGUACGACGUGCACCCCCGCCGUGGGAGACGCUCCAUCAUGCCGCAAGGCUCCGUGCGUUUCUUGCUCCCGUGACCGAGAGGUCUUCACGCCGGUGGAUUAACGAAUAUUAAAAAUCGCGACAUCGCUCCGCAAAUUUGAGGGUCAAUAUUGACUGUGCAGAACGAUUUUGUCAGCGAAGAAGCGCGAAGUUUGAUAGUAACGGAAUGCACUCAACGUACACACGGCCCAUGACGAGUAAUUGUAUACGCGUGUAUCACUGCAAUGCACUAAGUGUUUCCAGGUACAGUGACGCUGUAUGAAGAAAAAAAUAUAUUUAUACACACACGUCAAGCUUUUCUUUUUUCUACGAGGCCAGGAGCUCGGCUGUAACAAACAAGGUGCGUCCGUAUGCACUGAAGACUCCGUGUUGCCGCGGAGAAGGCGAAAAAUCGAGGCAGGUGGCACGGUGUUAGCUGACGGCCACCAACAGUCGUGCCAGUGCAAGAUGGGCGCUCUUGUGCGUAUAGCCUACGGUGAAUUAUUCUACGCGCUGCUUAGCCGCAUAACGCCUUGUAUAACUUCAAACACGACUGCUGUGGCAGAGAAGUCUCUAUCGUGCUGCUUAAAUUUUGUUUCUUGUACGAAGCCGCGUCGACAUCGAUAUCUUGAGCCAGGAAAAACAAAUGGAAGAUAUAUGUUGGUUCCUUCCGCUUUAUUUGAUAAAUGGUCGGCGAGUUGAAGUCACUUAUGAGCGCCGUAUACGCUAUUCUCUCGGAUAAGCUACGCGGAGUCGGCGCCUGUAGGGCGCAGUGGGAUGAUGUAGGCACCGCUUACCUCCAUCGAGCUUACUUGUCAUUGCAGCGCCCGCACCUUGUUAGGGCGCAGUCCGACCGUCAAUUGCUCUUGUUGCGAUCACGAACAAGACGUCAUGGUCUAUGAGAUCAUCAUUACCGCCGUGCCGUGUGUGCGUGCGCACAUGCAUGUAUAUCGAGGGCCGUCAUUGUGUGGCUGAAUACAUUGGGCAUCAACUAUUGCAGUUAAGUACAUUGCAGCGACAGAGACCACCAAUUGUGCGUGCUUGCUGACUGGCAGCAGCAGGCAUCGAGCGCAGACUACUAGGAGCAUCCUCUCUUCCGUUGCGCGUGUUUCAGUCUCCCUUCGGGCACCCUCCGUACAGACGUUUAUUAGGCGGCGGGGCGGCACGACUGGUGAACGCAACGUGCUCGGGACAGUACUUAAUUCUGUUCAUUUUGUUUUAAGCCAGAGGGUUCUCACUUUACCGAUGUUUUCUCAGCCCGAAGAUUACCAGUGCCCGCUUAAAUUUUCUCCCACUAAACUGCAAGGCCCAAAAAAUGUUAGCUCGAUUACUCAUCUUGUAAAUGUUUCUCCCACGAGCAUAAUAAACAUCUGCAUUUAAAUGUUUGUGAGUCACAAUCUUUUUUUUUUCUUCUUCCUGUUGUUUGUUGGUUGGUUGGUUGUUUGCCUGUUGGUGUGCCGCUGCGGCUGUAGCAUGCUGCCUCGCCUUUGUUUUCUAGAGUUGUGGUGUGUAUGUCGGUGUGAAUGUUCCCCGUUUCUCUCGCUCUCUCUUUUUCUCACACCCUGCCGGCGGGUCUGCGUAGUGUUUAUCGUUGAACCCGUUCUGCACGGGGGCCGCUCCGCUUAGCUCUCGUUCGCUACUUCAGACCUGCAGCUCUCGAAAGUGUACAUAAGCAUACCGAGUAUGGCGGCCUGAAAACUGCUUUGUGACUGUGACGCACUUUGAACAUAAAAAAAGACAACACCAAAUUAGUUGUGAAAUCUCUCUCUUUUCCUCUAAACCUUUCUUUUUUUAUUGUAAGUAGCAGACAUGCGCCCCCUUUGAGAUGCGAAGCACGUAAGCUGUCUUCACCUGACUGGGCACCAACCGCAUUUUUCACGUGUUUAUUACCUACCACUGCACUGGGACCCUUCUCUUUUAUUAACGAGUACAAGGAGGAAAAGAGCAAGAGAGAUUUGACAACGAUCUGAACCCCGGUUCCGCUUCUGUCCAGCACCACCAAAUAAGAUCCCUCCACAGAAGCGGAAACAGGGCACCACAUUUCCGCCUAACUUAGCGCGGUCAAUUCGAACCGAUUGGAGCUUUGUGUGCGUCGAAGAGAGUGCGUCACAGAACCAAGCGUAUACAUAUAGUAUAGACCACUGUGCGAUUAUGCUGCAUUGAUGGUGCAUGUGAUAAUGAGUGCAUAAACAUGAAAGGAAGUAUUUUCCCAUGUUUGUGUGCUAGUUGGUGUGUUGUGCAUUUGUUUGAGUUUGUCCUUUCACUGCGUUAAAGCCCACACCACCACAGGCUUGACUUGAAUUCCCAACACCAGCAAUUGGGAACUUAGGUCAGCCUUUGCACACGAGGACACCCGCCCAGUCAGGUGAAGAACACAUUGUGCACGCAAUGGCCUCAAGUUCGUUCAGCCACAUGUCUGCCACUUACACUUACCACACUUCUCUCUCAAUGUCCACGCCUCUACAUUUUGUUAUUUCCUUUAGUUUCUUCUUCCUGUAAAGUACGUUCGCGGUAGCAACGUCUCUCCUGUGAUUAUUCUUUCACACGCUCUAUCACUCUGCAUCUUUCCUUUCAUGUGCUGUCUGCGUCUCUCUCUCUCUCUCUCUCUCUUGCAUUCGAUGUACGUCUAUAGUACACUUGCAGCCUCAUGCCGUUUUGUUGCUCCUUCACUGUACUUGUCUUAAGUUGUACUUGCAAUAAAUGUUGGUUUACCGUCGUCA